AUCGGGUUCUCCCUGGGGAGUAUGACACUCCCCGACGAGCAAGGGAAGUACACUCACUCCCCAGGACGGCUCCGCAGACGCAGACCGAAGCUUAUGGUGGGAGGGUGCAUUCUAGGAAGAGGAAAUGGAAAAAGAACAAAUCACCUGCUGCCUCGGCAGGACAGGAUUUCUGCCAAUCCCACCUGUAAGCAGCGUUCAUGGCUUCCAGACAAAGUGGGGGCCCGGGGCCUGCAGAACAGUCGGCCACAUUCACCAGCCUGUCUCUCCUCUGGACCUCUUGGCACAAGCUUUUACUCUCCAGACUGUGUGUGUUUGGUUGAAUUGAAAUAAACACAGCAGGAUUUUGUUUUAGUUUGUUGUUUGUUUUGCAGAACGAGGUCUUAGAGGAAGGACUUCCCAGCCAAACUUGACCCCACACAGGCCAGAGAGAAGCGGUAGGGAGGGCGGCGAGAAGGAACUAUGAAGUAAAAUGGGGACUGGUGUGGGGACUGACUUCCUCCCCCAAAAACCUGGAAC
rnacentral:lncRNA from 1 species